rnacentral:tRNA from 1 species
AAUUGUGAGUAUAGUUUUAACUAAAACAGUAGGCUGUGGACUUACAGACAAAGAUGAUUCUUUUACACACC